rnacentral:rRNA from 1 species
AGCGCAGGCGGGAAGACAAGUUGGAAGUGAAAUCUAUGGGCUCAACCCAUAAACUGCUUUCAAAACUGUUUUUCUUGAGUAGUGCAGAGGUAGGCGGAAUUCCCGGUGUAGCGGUGGAAUGCGUAGAUAUCGGGAGGAACACCAGUGGCGAAGGCGGCCUACUGGGCACUAACUGACGCUGAGGCUCGAAAGUGUGGGUAGCAAACA